CAGUCGUGAGGAAGGCGGGUACGUUAAUAGCGUAUUCGUUUGACGUUAGCGACAGAAGAAAGCACCGGCUAACUCCGUGCCAGCAGCCGCGGUAAUACGGAGGGUGCGAGCGUUAAUCGGAAUUACUGGGCGUAAAGCGCAUGCAGGUGGUUUGUUAAGUUCAGAUGUGAAAGACCCGGGGCGUCAACCUCGGAAUAGCAUUUGUAAACUAGGCAGACUAGAGUACUGUAGAGGGGGGUAGGAAUUUCAGGUGUAGCGGUGAAAUAGCGUAGAGAUCUGAAGGAAUACCGGUGGCGAAGGCGGCCCCCUCGGACAGAUACUGACACUCAGAUGCGAAAGCGUGGGGAGCAAACAGGAUUAGAUACCCUGGUAG
rnacentral:rRNA from 1 species